AAGAGAAAGAGAUCGUCAUUCCGUGAUUUGAUACCGGUCUAUCUCAUCGAUGAGCACUUUAUUAUUUAGUGACUCAUGACAUAGUUAGACAGUCAAACUCAAUGACGUUUUUUCUGCCGGUCUUCGUCUACCGGAUUAACGUGAAAAAACAUCAUUGAUGUGUUAAGGGACUUGGUGGUGAUAGAGUUCUAUUUUUAU
ensembl:snoRNA R10A10.3 ncRNA